rnacentral:ncRNA from 1 species
UGAGGAAAAAGAUGAAAAGGGAACUCGGGUGGAAUUCCCGGACUGCCCCGCAGCUGUAUUGUUCCGUCAACGUUUCGAACGUCAUCGCCACUGGUCCCAUCGACCGGGAAGGCAUCGAAACGGGAACGAGUCAGAAGACCUGCCGCUUCCGU